rnacentral:tRNA from 1 species
GUGGGUAUAGCUCAGUGGUAGGGUGCAUGCUUAGCAUGCAGGCAUUUCUGGGUUCAACCCCAGUAUCUCUA